rnacentral:tRNA from 1 species
UAUCCUGAUAGCUAUCGGGAUGGUAGAGCAUAACACUUUUAAUGUUAGGGUCCUGGGUUCGAGCCCCAGCGGGAUCAC